UCCUUCUUCGUUGAAGUGCUGUAGACAUCAGGACAUUAGUAAAGCAGAGCCUCUCCCUACCCAGGAAAGCACAGUCCUAUGUGGCACAGACAAGGAGAUAACCAACCACAUAAUUAGCUGUAAGUAAUCAGAACCUGGGACAGUAGAAAUGUGCCAUAUGUGAUAUCAGCGAACUCAAGAGUCUCUUCUCACAUAUGCUUUCAUGCCAAUGUUACUAAGUCAUGUUCUACAAGUGCCCUGACUCCCUUUGUAUUCUGCAUAGAUGGAAAUUCCAUGGAACUGAGUUGUCCAGGAGAUUACUAAUAAAGCUGCAUUAUAUCAAAUCAUCGCAACUCAAACCCAGUAGCUCCUGUUCAAGUCAAGGCGACUGAUGUCCUGGCCAGUCUCUCAUAUGAUAGGGCUCUACACCAAUCUUUGCUAGAAGUCAGAUGGAAGAGGAAGCCAGUGUAGCAAUCUGCCACACUUACAUAGUGUUCUGAAGCACAGCCUUGGGGUGAGGGUGGGGGGCAUGAGCUCUGGAGACCAGGUAAGUGGGAGAUAAUGCUGCUUUAGCAUAGACAUCAGACCAGCAAUAUGUGCAUUUAACAAAGCUGUGCUGGGGGAAAGGGAGGCAAGGGAGCUAAAAAUGGGUAAAGAAAGGAUGUUAUCAAACAUAUCGGGGGGAAAUCAAACAGUUGAGGCAGAGCAAUGCCAACCUUCAUUGGAAAGGUGCUGCUAGAAUGUUGAAAAUUCUAAGAGAUAGAGUCAGAUCUUGCCUGGAUAAUUGAUAUUGCAGGAUGUAGAGUGCCCUCAACAUUUUUCAGAUUUCUCAAAUGUUUUGACUUAUAAUCAACAGUGCUGAGAAUGCUACUUCCCAUGUGUAGUACAAAAAUGGCAAAGUAUGUAAACAUCAAAAAUUGCUGGAAAUUCUGUUAAAUCUAAGUUCAAAAUAACUGAAUGAUUUAUGAAGCUCAAGUCAAGAACUCAAAUAGCAAUUUUUGAGUUUAAAAUUUUUUUAACAUAAUACAGUGUAAAGAGCAUACCAAUUUGAUGAAUGAUGAAAAGAAAAUGUUAACUGUCUUUGUUUUCUAUAUUAGUUUUUGUAAGAGUAUAAAACUUUCUUUUUUUUUUCUUUAGGGUAGCUCUUAACUCUUUAUUAAGAAAUAAUUUCCACAAAGAAAUCAGUUUACAUUUAAAAUUUCCAAACAUAUUUAUAACAAAGGACACAGCAAAUAAUACAUCUUAAUUUCGAUCAGAAUUGAUUUUGAUUUGAAUCACAUCCGUGUACUUGGUGAAUACUGAGUGCUUGAUUCUCUUCCAGAUUCUGUCUCAAACACCUUGUGCAUGGAAAGCCAUUCUAGCCUCAUUUAAAACCUUGAAAGAUACAAGUAAGAGCUUCACUUUACAAACAAACGAGGUGGAAUCAGAGAAAUUCAGAGAUGAUGAAAAUUUACAGGAC
rnacentral:lncRNA from 1 species